GCCCAGGUGGCGAAACAGGUAGACGCAAGGGACUUAAAAUCCUCGGAGCUUAACCUCCGUGCCGGUUCGAUUCCGGCCUGGGCA
rnacentral:tRNA from 1 species